rnacentral:rRNA from 1 species
AGUGAACGCUGGCGGUAGGCCUAACACAUGCAAGACGAACGGCAGCACAGUAAGAGCUUGCUCUUACGGGUGGCGAGUGGCGGACGAGUGAGGAAUACAUCGGAAUCUACUUUUUCGUGGGGGAUAACGUAGGGAAACUUACGCUAAUACCGCAUACGACCUACGGGUGAAAGCAGGGGAUCUUCGGACCUUGCGCGAUUGAAUGAGCCGAUGUCGGAUUAGCUAGUUGGCGGGGUAAAGGCCCACCAAGGCGACGAUCCGUAGCUGGUCUGAGAGGAUGAUCAGCCACACUGGAACUGAGACACGGUCCAGACUCCUACGGGAGGCAGCAGUGGGGAAUAUUGGACAAUGGGCGCAAGCCUGAUCCAGCCAUACCGCGUGGGUGAAGAAGGCCUUCGGGUUGUAAAGCCCUUUUGUUGGGAAAGAAAAGCAGCAGGUUAAUACCCCGCUGUUCUGACGGUACCCAAAGAAUAAGCACCGGCUAACUUCGUG